CCUACGGGAGGCAGCAGUGGGGAAUAUUGCACAAUGGGCGAAACCCUGAUGCAGCGACGCCGCGUGAGUGAAGAAGUAUCUCGGUAUGUAAAGCUCUAUCAGCAGGGAAGAAAAUUACGGUACCUGACUAAGUAUCCCCGGCCAACUACGUGCCAGCAGCCGCUGGAAUACGGAGGGGGCAAGCGUUCUCCGGAUUUACUGGGGGUAAAGGGAGCGUAGACGGCGCUGCGAGUCCGGAGUGAAAGGCCAGGGCGUAACCAUGGUACUGCUCUGGAAACUGGGGCGCUUGAGUGCGCGAGGGGUAGGCGGAAUUCGUAGUGUAGCGGUGAAAUGCGUAGAUAUUAGGAGGAACACCGGCGGCGAAGGCGGCGUACGGGAUCGAAACUGACGCUGAGGCACGAAAGCGUGGGGAGCAAACAGGAUUAGAUACCCGAGUAGUC
rnacentral:rRNA from 1 species